AAGAGAGGCUCGCUAGCAAGGAAGACUGCUAAUCUUCUGCCCCCUGGUUGAACUCCAGGGCUCACUCA
rnacentral:tRNA from 1 species